rnacentral:tRNA from 1 species
GGGUGGUUAGCUCAGUUGGUAGAGCGGCGCCCUUACAAGGCGUAGGUCGGGAGUUCGAGCCUCUCACCACCCACCA